AGGCUAGGCUGUAAUAUUAGGUAAAAUCUAAUUUCAGUUUGGUUAUCACAUAGCGUUCAUUUCCCUAAGGGAGGAGAAAAAAUUAAAUUUGUAAGCUUAAGAUUCCAGCUGAAGUAGAGAACGCUAAGAAGAUGGGCAGAAAUCAAAGCUUCCUGGUGUGAGGUUGUGGUAGAAGAUUCCUGGUUG
rnacentral:lncRNA from 1 species